rnacentral:rRNA from 1 species
UACAUAGGGGUCAGGAGGAUUAUUGGGCCUAAAGCAUCCGUAGCCGGCUCUGUAAGUUUUCGGUUAAAUCCAUGUGCUCAACGCAUGGGCUGCCGAAAAUACUGCAUAGCUAGGGAGUGGGAGAGGUAGACGGUACUCGGUAGGAAGGGGUAAAAUCCUUUGAUCUAUCGAUGACCACCUGUGGCGAAGGCGGUCUACCAGAACACGUUCGACGGUGAGGGAUGAAAGCUGGGGGAGCAAACCGG